UCUCUUUGUGAAACCUUCUUUCAAGGAUCUCUUGCUGAAUUCGUAUAAAGCUGCUUUCAACGAAGUUGACUUUCUCACCAAGGGCAUAUCUAUGCUAUUGAGAUGAAUGAAAUCCUCCUCCUUGAUCUGAACUUUGAAUAUUUCAAGAUGAAACAGAGACAAAAAAAGAAAAGAAAACAAACUUGUCCUGAAGACGUAGAGUAUAUAUAUAGAUUCUCAAAAGCUGGCUCAACAAAGAUUAGAUUGCUUCUUCAAAUCUUGUAGAGAAUAUUGCAGUGGACUUAAUUUCUCAGAGCUUUAAAGCCUUUAUCAACCUUUGCUUGGUUUGAACAGAUUCUUCUCUCUGUAUUAUUAUUAUGGCUUCUUUCUUUCUUUGGGUCUCCUCUUAAUAAUAUUCUUCUUCAACAACUUUUCUUGGCUUUGUAAAUUAAAUUAGAAGAACUAUUAAUUGAUGAUUCA